GCCCACCAAGGCGACGAUCGGUAGCCGGACUGAGAGGUUGAACGGCCACAUUGGGACUGAGACACGGCCCAGACUCCUACGGGAGGCAGCAGGGGGGAAUAUUGCACAGUGGGGGAAACCCUGAUGCAGCGACACCGCGUGGAGGAAGGAGGUCUUCGGAUUGUAAACUCCUGUUGUUGGGGAAGAUAAUGACGGUACCCAACAAGGAAGUGACGGCUAACUACGUGCCAGCAGCCGCGGUAAAACGUAGGUCACAAGCGUUGUCCGGAAUUACUGGGUGUAAAGGGAGCGCAGGCGGGAAGACAAGUUGGAAGUGAAAUCUAUGGGCUCAACCCAUAAACUGCUUUCAAAACUGUUUUUCUUGAGUAGUGCAGAGGUAGGCGGAAUUCCCGGUGUAGCGGUGGCAUGCGUAGAUAUCGGGAGGAACACCAGUGGCGAAGGCGGCCUACUGGGCACCAACUGACGCUGAGGCUCGAAAGUGUGGGUAGCAAACAGGAUUAGAUACCCUGGUAGUCCACACCGUAAACGAUGAUUACUAGGUGUUGGAGGAUUGACCCCUUCAGUGCCGCAGUUAACACAAUAAGUAAUCCACCUGGGGAGUACGACCGCAAGGUUGAAACUCAAAGGAAUUGACGGGGGCCCGCACAAGCAGUGGAGUAUGUGGUUUAAUUCGACGCAACGCGAAGAACCUUACCAAGUCUUGACAUCCCUUGACAGGCAUAGAAAUAUGUUUUCUCUUCGGAGCAAGGAGACAGGUGGUGCAUGGUUGUCGUCAGCUCGUGUCGUGAGAUGUUGGGUUAAGUCCCGCAACGAGCGCAACCCUUAUGGUCAGUUACUACGCAAGAGGACUCUGGCCAGACUGCCGUUGACAAAACGGAGGAAGGUGGGGAUGACGUCAAAUCAUCAUGCCCUUUAUGACUUGGGCUACACACGUACUACAAUGGCGUUAAACAAAGAGAAGCGAGACCGCGAGGUGGAGCAAAACUCAGAAACAACGUCCCAGUUCGGACUGCAGGCUGCAACUCGCCUGCACGAAGUCGGAAUUGCUAGUAAUCGUGGAUCAGCAUGCCACGGUGAAUACGUUCCCGGGCCUUGUACACACCGCCCGUCACACCAUGAGAGCCGGGGGACCCGAAGUCGGUAGUCUAACCGCAAGGAGGACGCCGCCGAAGGUAAAACUGGUGAUUGGGGUGAAGUCGGAACAAGGUAGCCGUAGGAGAACCUGCGGCUG
rnacentral:rRNA from 1 species